GCCAGGAUCUUUGAUGAGAGAGUUCAGGAGAACGUGAAUUCCUGCUGGUUGAACCGGAAAGAGUUGACGUACCUCGGUGGGCUAACCAUUACUCCUGGUGGGUUCCCCCUGCAAGGAGUGUGUGGCGUCUGCUUAUACCUGCCCUGGCACCGUUGUCCAAUUUCUCUGACCCGUCUAGGGUUGCCAGCUUCGGGGGUGUCUUGCUGGCGGUGAGGUUUACCGGGUUAACGUUUACCUUGCCUUACGGCAAGUGCCAGUGUGAAGGUCACCCACCUUUCCGUCCCGUCUUGAAACACGGACCGAGGAGUGUAACUUAUACGCAAGUCAAAGGGUGGAAAACCCAACGGCGCAAUGAAAGUAAAGGUCGGUUUACCGGCUGACAUGGAAUCCGUUCGUUAAAGCGGCGCACCAUGGCCCUGUCUUGAGAGCUUGCUCUUGGGCAAAGGAAAAGCGUAUAGGUUGCGACCCGAAAGAUGGUGAACUAUACUUGACCAGGACAAAGCCAGAGGAAACUCUGGUGGAAUUCCUUAUCGGUUCUGACUUGCAAAUCGAUCGAUAGACUUGAGUAUAGGGGCAAAGACCAAUCAACCCUCUAUACCUGCUUCCUUCUGAAAGA
rnacentral:rRNA from 1 species